rnacentral:tRNA from 1 species
GCUUCCUUGGCUCAGUUGGUAGAGCGUUGGUCUCAUAGAAAUGAGUGACUUCGGGUCGCAUAAUCCAAAGGUCGCCAGUUCGAGCCUGGCAGGGAGCA